rnacentral:rRNA from 1 species
UACGUAGGCAGCAAGCGUUGUUCGGAAUUACUGGGCGUAAAGAGUGUGUAGGCGGUGCUCCAAGUCUGGUGUGAAAUCUCCCGGCUCAACUGGGAGGGUGCGCUACAGACUGUCUGACUAGAGUGUGGGAUGGGAGAGUGGAAUUCCUGGUGUAGCGGUGAAAUGCGUAGAUAUCAGGAGGAACAUCGAUGGCGAAGGCAGCCCCUUGGACCUGUACUGACGCUCAUGCACGAAAGCGUGGGGAGCAAACAGG